GGGGCUGAUUCUGGAUUCGACGGGAUUUGCGAAACCCAAGGUGCAUGCCGAGGGGCGGUUGGCCUCGUAAAAAGCCGCAAAAAAAUAGUCGCAAACGACGAAACCUACGCUUUAGCAGCUUAAUAACCUGCUUAGAGCCCUCUCUCCCUAGCCUCCGCUCUUAGGACGGGGAUCAAGAGAGGUCAAACCCAAAAGAGAUCGCGCGGAUGCCCUGCCUGGGGUUGAAGCGUUAAAACGAAUCAGGCUAGUCUGGUAGUGGCGUGUCCGUCCGCAGGUGCCAGGAGAAUGUAAAGACUGACUAAGCAUGUAGUACCGAGGAUGUAGGAAUUUCGGACGCGGGUUCAACUCCCGCCAGCUCCACCA
rnacentral:tmRNA from 1 species